rnacentral:tRNA from 2 species
GGAGAGGUGGCCGAGUGGACGAAGGCGGGUGACUCGAAAUCACCUGACCCCUUUUAGGGGUCCGUGGGUUCGAAUCCCACCCUCUCCGCCA